UAAAGUCCACUUGGUUACUUAAUUGUGGCAAGGUUUUAAAAACAGUUAAGAUAAAAAGUGAGCCUAGGAACUUGACUAUAAAAUCUAAGAUCUUCAUUUCAAGAGGAAGAAACAAUUAGAAUUUGCCAUUUAAUUAGGAAAACACAAUUAGAGGGAGGGGAUAUAGCUGCUGUGGUCACAGUAAUGCCUCCCACAACACUCACCUCCAAGUCCCACAAGCCAGGGACUAAAAUAGCUGAGUGGAAAUGGUCCAUAUCGAGGUGACUGCGUUUCCGUACCUGCUAUCAAAUCCAAGGUGGAUUUAAAGAAGACCUAAAACUAAUCUCCAUUAAAAGAGGUGAAGAUAAAUAGUAAGAAGGACACAAGCUGUGCUGAUAGGAUGCUGGGGACCAGUGUUUGCUGACAAAAGAUAACUGGAUCCGAGAACGUUCUCUUGGGAUCUGAUUGGGACCCUUUUCCAGUAAUGUCUUCCCGGCAACCAUGAAGGGACGAUACUGAGGAGAGCCUCGUCCCAAAGGAAAUAGACUUGGGCACCGAUUGGCCAACUUUGGGGGAAACUUGAAAGCUGAUGGAACUGCUGGAAAAGAUCCCUUCACGACUAACAAGCAGCUACCUGAACUUUUCGAUGUUGCUGCAAUGAGUGGGUCUUUCUCGGGCCUCCCUGAGCUACUUGCCUUCCCCACCUCACCACAGGUAAUGCUUUUCUCUCUCUUUCUCUCCUUUCUCUUUCUUAUCGUUUCUGUUACUCAGGGUGACCAUCUUGCCCAGAGACCACAUGUUAAAACUCCUAGUCAGAGGUCCCUGAAACAAAUGGAAAGAACUGGAUGAAGCUUCCCUCUCAUCUUGUUUCAUGUCCUUGGGAGCUUGACCUUGUACAUGCAUGGUUAAGUCAUAACCUUAGUUCAGACUUACUGGUUUCACCUGGUAGGUAACCUUUGGUAAAGUUUAAAAAUCGGAAAUAUUGGCAGUUUGGCAUGGCUAAAGUCUAUGAAUAAUAAGGAGAUCUGAAAGGAUUUAUUUUUCUUUAAAGAGUGCUAUGGUUAAGAGUCAGCUUAAUUAAAAAUGGAUAGAGCCCUCUGAAAAUCUGAGGCUCUGUUCUGUUCUGAUGGUUUUGACAUUUGGGGGUAUCAGAAAUUACUUCACAUUAUGAUAGAGCUAUGGUGUCUAAUAACUAGGUAGGAAAUACAUAUAGUUUGGGGGAUAGCUAAUGGCAGUUAUGGGUGCAUGCUCAGCUCUUUACAUGUUUGGAUCAGAGAAGCAUGCUGUUGGCCACCUGGAAGCUAUGGAGAUGUCUCCAUCCCCCACUCCCCACUGAGAGAUAAGACUUCCAUGGAGGAUGGACUAACCAUAGAACGGGCUUAUUGGCUCUGGGUUGCUUUGCAAUGAAAUGCAUGGUAAAAUCACUACACUGUAGUUCCGCAGCAUUUCUCUUUGGCGGAUCCAGGAUCCAGGAACGAAACCCUUAAUUUUGGGGAUAUGGUUUUGCAUUCCUGUUGUGCCUGCUAAUUAGAUCAUAGAAACUGCAUGCUUUUCUGGCUCUUUUCCUCCAAGGGUUUCACACUGAAGCCAGUAAUUCAAUUAAGAAACUGGCAAAUAACGCAGGCAAGGUGGCUGAUGCCUGUAAUCCCAGCACUUUGGGAGGCUGAGGCGAGUGAAUCAUGAGAUCAGGAGUUUGAGACCAGUCUGGCUAACAUGGUGAACCCCAUCUCUAAUAAAAAUACAAAAAAUUAGCUGGCUAUGGUUGUGGGUACCUGUAAUCCCAGCUACUCAGGAGGCUGAGGCAGGAGAGUCACUUUAACCCAGGAGGCGGAAGUUUCAGGUAGCAGAGAUAGCGCCAGUGCCCUCCAGCCCAAGCGACAGUACGAGAUGCUGUGUCAAAAAUAAAAAUAAAAAUAAACUGGCAAAUGAAAAAUCUUAAAGCACUGGAUCUUCUGUCUGUGUAUGUAUAUGU